UACGCCUGCCCGCCCCCUGAGAUCUGCGGGAGAGGCCCUUCUCCGGGAACCCUCCGUGAAGGAAAUUAGGAGGGUAGGUACUCGGAGGACGGCUUUCACUGCGGUGGCGCACAAUCUAUGGAAUGUGCCCCCCAGAGAGGUCCACCUGGCGCCGUCGUUAUUUGUUUUUCAGCGAAGACCUUUUUAUUCAAACGUUAUUUUAAUUGCUAAU